CCCGGGCCUUGUACACACCGCCCGUCACAUCACGAAAGUUGGUUGUACCGGAAGCCGGUGCUCUAACCCUUCGGGGGGGGAAGCCGUCCAUGGUAUGCCCAGCGAUUGGGGUG
rnacentral:rRNA from 1 species